GACGAACGCUGGCGGCGUGCUUAACACAUGCAAGUCGAACGGAAAGGCCCUGCUUUUGUGGGGUGCUCGAGUGGCGAACGGGUGAGUAACACGUGAGUAACCUGCCCUUGACUUUGGGAUAACUUCAGGAAACUGGGGCUAAUACCGGAUAGGAGCUCCUGCUGCAUGGUGGGGGUUGGAAAGUUUCGGCGGUUGGGGAUGGACUCGCGGCUUAUCAGCUUGUUGGUGGGGUAGUGGCUUACCAAGGCUUUGACGGGUAGCCGGCCUGAGAGGGUGACCGGCGACAUUGGGACUGAGAUACGGCCCAGACUCCUACGGGAGGCAGCAGUGGGGAAUAUUGCACAAUGGGCGGAAGCCUGAUGCAGCAACGUCGCGUGCGGGAUGACGGCCUUCGGGUUGUAAACCGCUUUCGCCUGUGACGAAGCGUGAGUGACGGUAAUGGGUAAAGAAGCACCGGCUAACUACGUG
rnacentral:rRNA from 1 species